rnacentral:lncRNA from 1 species
CCUGCCUCUCCUGGCUCAUAGCAUUUGUUCCACUCUGCAUGUCUACACUGUUACCUUAUUUCUUUCCCCAAAUGUCUCCUAACAACAGUGUCUACUUCCCAACUCAACAACACCUGUCUGGGCUCUUCUUCUUAUGACCUUCAUGACUUUGGGCAAGUCACAUGCUUCACUUAUCUCCACUAUAAAAUAAGGCUGGAGGUUCCAGUCCCAUUCCCUGUUGUCAGCCAAAGUUCCAUUUCCUCCUGCAGUCCUUGCAGUGCAUACCACAUCUCUCUCGUCCACACUAAGGAUCCCUAGAAGCCUUUGCUGCUAUUUCAGCUCCCCCAGGACUUGGGGCUGUGCCCAAAUUGGGGCCUGCCCCGGCACACUGCUCUGUGCUCCACCUCCACCAAGGAGCACUAGAUCCCUUGUGCUGGC